rnacentral:tRNA from 1 species
GCCGGUGUAGCUCAGUUGGUAGAGCAGCUGAUUCGUAAUCAGACUUUGGCAUGUGGUUUACUCUGCUGUUUCUUUAACGAUUUCCCUUUCACACGGCU